UACGGGGGGGAGCAAGCGUUGUUCGGAUUACUGGGCGUAAAGGGCGCGUAGGCGGUCGUGACAAGUCACUUGUGAAAUCUCCGGGCUUAACUCGGAACGGUCAAGUGAUACUGUCGGACUAGAGUACAGAAGGGGCAACUGGAAUUCUCGGUGUAGCGGUGAAAUGCGUAGAUAUCGAGAGGAACACCUGCGGCGAAGGCGGGUUGCUGGGCUGAUACUGACGCUGAGGAGCGAAAGCGUGGGGAGCGAACAGG
rnacentral:rRNA from 1 species